GUAGACUUCGCCAGGUGAAUCUGUCUCAGAAUGAGUUGACCAGCUUGCCGUCCGGACUGCUCCAUCUCACCAGAGUCCAGAGGCUCUCUGCUGCUAAGAACAAGCUCACCUCCCUGUUUGACAUUCCUAAUGGUACUAACUGGAUCGGUCUGCGUAAGCUGGAGGAGCUGGAUGUGUCUGACAACUGUCUGACCAGUCUUCCCUCUGCUGUUCUUCACUCUUUCAAAUCCCUCACUUCCCUCAAAGUCUGCCGGAACAGACUAACCAGCUUCCCUGACCCCUGGGCCUGCCCUCUGAAGCACUGUCGAGCCUCAUCCAAUGCCAUCGAGAAUCUUCCCAAUACCAUCUCCAUCUUCUGGAGAACUCAGCUGCAGGAGGUGGAUUUCUCAGACAACGUCAUCAAGGAGCUGCCCUCCUAUAUAUUCGAGCU